AACGAACGCUGGCGGCAUGCCUAACACAUGCAAGUCGAACGAGACCUUCGGGUCUAGUGGCGCACGGGUGCGUAACGCGUGGGAACCUGCCCUUAGGUUCGGAAUAACUCCCCGAAAGGGGUGCUAAUACCGGAUAAUGUCUUCGGACCAAAGAUUUAUCGCCUUUGGAUGGGCCCGCGUUGGAUUAGCUAGUUGGUAGGGUAAAAGCCUACCAAGGCGACGAUCCAUAGCUGGUCUGAGAGGAUGAUCAGCCACACUGGGACUGAGACACGGCCCAGACUACUACGGGAAGCAGCAGUGGGGGAUAUUGGACAAUGGGCGAAAGCCUGAUCCAGCAAUGCCGCGUGAGUGAUGAAGGCCUUAGGGUUGUAAAGCUCUUUUACCCGGGAUGAUAAUGACAGUACCGGGAGAAUAAGCUCCGGCUAACUCCGUG
rnacentral:rRNA from 1 species